GGGAAUAAAGAAUGUAAGAGGAGGCAAUGCAAUCUCUUCUUUCUCGUUGAUGGGGAUAGAGAGAGGGGCUAUCUGAGUUGAUUACAUGUAAAUAAGCCUUAGGAUUUUUUUUUCUUUAAGGACCAUCUGGAAGAGGCAGCUGUACUGCAUCUUCACUAAAGCUAGAAGAGGAAGUAGUGGGCUUAAGCUUCCACACAGGGAUUUGGGUUAAAUAUAAGAAAAUAUUUCCUUACAAGAAGAUUUGUAAACAUUGGUACUGGGUAAAGAAGGAGGUGGCGUAAUCACAUUCCCUGGAGGACUUUACCACAGAAGAGAUUGCUGUCAAAUUAAGAUGAUUUUCUGUGCGUGCCUACAAGAAGCAGAAAACUGUGAAUCUGAAAUCAAUUUAUCAACCCUCUGAAAGGCCGAAGAUAUUCCACGUCUAUUUUUCAGUUACAGUGCAAAGAAUGGGCACCCAUGGAACCAGGACAUCUCUGCAUUAAUAAGGACCUGAAAGACACUUAGCUGAAACACCCAUUUUACAGGCCCUGCAGGAGUGAGCAACAGCCCAAGUCCUCCUAUCUAAGGACAGAUGAAGUCAGCUGACUCUGCUCCCAGCCCCACCCAAGGGGUCCUUUGGAGUGGGGAGCCUAGCAACAAGAAUCAUCCAAGGAUGAAGGUCUGCGUUAAUAUCUAGGACAGAAAUGUGGCGUAGAAAAUGGGCUCUACUCCAGGGGAGCCACCCACCUUCUGACACUCUGAGUACAAGAAUGUGCUAUGUCUACUUCAUCUUGGGACUCCUCAGCAGAAUGUGACCAAACCCUAGUACCAGGGGGCCCUCCUUGAAAACUACACAGUUGUCAUGUGUUUAAAGCUGGAUGAAUCCACUCACUUAUAACAAAAGGAGAUCUGAAAUUGUUGACUAUUUCUUCUGACAUCUGUGACUGGAGUUCUAGGGGUGAUGCUGACGUGUGGGCAUUUGGAGAAGGCAGGCCUGGGUGUGGUGGUGUGGAAGCAGGAGGUCUGGGGCACUGA
rnacentral:lncRNA from 1 species